CUGGAGGAGCAGGAGCCAGAAAUGGGGCCCAGGUCUCUGCCUUUUUCUCCAUAGUUUGUAUCAUUCACCACCCCCGUUUGGGCAACAAUUCCUGUGGGAUCUCCACACAGGACAAACACACCACUGGCCAUUUCAGGAUUUUUUUUGGAGCCACCCACCUUCCAUAGGGUUCCUUAGAUAGAGGAUGGCCUGAGUUGUGUCAUCUCUUUGGGUUAUAGCAAAGUUGUUAAGUUUCUACUUUAAUAUUUCUAUCCUGAUAUAAUAAAAUAGUUAGAUUCUAUAAUGCUCAGAAUGUAUUCUAAAAUUUUUAUAUUCUCAUUACAAUGUACUGUGCAAAAUGACUGAAAGCAUCAUAAAAGUUGUUGAUCUUAUUCAUUGGGAAAAUCAUAAGGAAUUCACACAUUUUUUGAUAUUCUUUUCUAGGAUGCAAACUAAUUACCCUUUAUUUUGAUGUUGAUUAAUCUGUUCAGUUAGGUUUUAUUUUGGUUUCAUAUUCAUAGUUCAUUAAGGGUAGGCUUGCAGCGAUACGUUCACCUGAUAAUUUUAGAGUCUUUAUGACCUGCUGCUUUAAUUCUGUGAUUAGAGAUUUUUGAAAUACUUUUAAUCUGAAGUGAACUGGAAAGUCAUAUGCAUGCUGAUUCUUUUUUUCAGAAGACAGUCAACUUGUGGAACAUACAUCAUACAUUUUAUUAGAGCUUCACUAUUUGAAGAUAUGGGGGUCUGACUCUGGAGCCAUGUCAGGAUAUUGUUGCAAGCUGUCCAUUUGGGAUUAACUAUUUGGGAUUGGUUUGACAUUGUACUAACUCUUCUGGUUACAGCAAGGGUUUAUAUACGAUUAUGUGUAUCAGAAUAGACAAAGCAUUUGUUAAAAAUGCAUGUCCCUGUGCCCACCAUUAGAAAUUGCUAAUGGUAGCCAGGCACAGUGGCUCAUGCCUAUAAUCCCAGCUACUCUGAAGGCUGAUGGGAGAAUUGCUUGAGCCCAUGAGUUUCAGACCAGCCUGAGCAACAUAGUGAGACUCCAUCUGUUCCAAAAAAUAAAUAAAUAAAAGGGCCAGCAUUGUGGCAUGUGCCUGCAGUCCUAGCUACUCAGAGGCUGUUGCAGGAGGAUCACUUGAGCCCAAGAGUUCAAGGCUGCAGUGAGCUAUGAUCAUGCCACUGCACUUCAGUCUGGGUGACAGAGUGAGAAGAAAAAAAGAAAAAGAGAAAAAAGGAAGGAAGGAAGGAAGGAGG
rnacentral:lncRNA from 1 species